rnacentral:rRNA from 1 species
AUGGCGUUCACCGACGAGUACAAGGGCGACAAGGCCAUGGAGGCACACGGCAACACCAAGUUGCAUGUCAUCCACACCAACGACAAGAAGCAGAUGGUGAUCUCCCUUGUGCAGUACGAGCGACACCUCAGCCUCCAGCGCCACAAGAUCGUCGGCACUAAUCUCGAGUACGACAACGAGCCUGAAGCGACGCAGAAACAUGCCCUCUACCAGCUCUCCAUCGGCAAGAAUCACCCGGUGCUGCUCUUCCAAAUGAGCGCCUCUGAAAGGUGCACCGUCUUUGACAACUUCCUCGCUGACCCGAGGUACACCUUUGCAGGCUUCUCCAUCGACGAUGACAAAACCAGGCUAGAGCGCGUCAAACUGGAGAAGAAGAUCACCGAUGACGAGCACAGGCACUGGGCCACCCUGCCUCUGUCCAUGAGGCACAUCGAGUACAUGGCAAAGGAUGCCUACGCAGCAACAAACACGAGAGAGUAG